UGAUGGAGGGGGAUAACUACUGGAAACGGUAGCUAAUACCGCAUAACGUCGCAAGACCAAAGUGGGGGACCUUCGGGCCUCAUGCCAUCAGAUGUGCCCAGAUGGGAUUAGCUAGUAGGUGAGGUAAUGGCUCACCUAGGCGACGAUCCCUAGCUGGUCUGAGAGGAUGACCAGCCACACUGGAACUGAGACACGGUCCAGACUCCUACGGGAGGCAGCAGUGGGGAAUAUUGCACAAUGGGCGCAAGCCUGAUGCAGCCAUGCCGCGUGUAUGAAGAAGGCCUUCGGGUUGUAAAGUACUUUCAGCGAGGAGGAAGGCCUUAAGGUUAAUAACCUUGGUGAUUGACGUUACUCGCAGAAGAAGCACCGGCUAACUCCGUGCCAGCAGCCGCGGUAAUACGGAGGGUGCAAGCGUUAAUCGGAAUUACUGGGCGUAAAGCGCACGCAGGCGGUCUGUCAAGUCGGAUGUGAAAUCCCCGGGCUCAACCUGGGAACUGCAUCCGAAACUGGCAGGCUAGAGUCUUGUAGAGGGGGGUAGAAUUCCAGGUGUAGCGGUGAAAUGCGUAGAGAUCUGGAGGAAUACCGGUGGCGAAGGCGGCCCCCUGACAAGACUACCUUAGGUCAAAAGGAG
rnacentral:rRNA from 1 species